CAUGGCGUAGAAAGUCGUUUACACAGCUGAAGCAAAGAUGAGUCGCUUACCUCAGGCGAGGAAAGGAGCGCAGUUCUGUUCUUGCCGUAUCGGGUGUAGUUGCUGAUUGAGUGUUUGAUAAUCGAAUUAAGCAUUUGUAAUGGCUGACAGCAAUGACUGUCCCUACUAUAAUUUACCAGAAUGGCUGGAGAACUUUGUGCGAAUGUUGACAAAACAGAAGAAUCACAGAAAGAAUAAAGUUUAGAAAUAAUUCAAAAGCUGAACAACAUGGAUCAAAAGCUGGAUCAAACCUUGAAUGAACUGGCAGAUUUGAAAGAAAUUUUUAAAAAUUGCCAUACAAGAAACUGCUAUGAAAAGCAGUGGCAGUACAGAAACAAAUAAUGUGGAAGAGAUAGGAAUCACAGUCAGCCCUGACGAACAAUGUUCAGAGACAAAGAACUGCGUUCUAAACUCGGAGAAGAAAUGCUAUCCAAUAAGGAGAGCAUGAAGGCAAAACAACAAAGGUGCUCCGUAUGCAUAUGAGUGAAUAGAGUGCAUAUGAAUUUCCAGAAGUUAUUUUUCAGUUGAUAAAUUCAAAGUUGUUGAAAAAUCAUACAUAUUUAUAUAGGGUUGCCAUAAUCUCGGAAUCCAAAACCAGGACAAAACUUACGGUCACCGUAGCUGAUCGAAGGAAAUAAGAGGAAUAAGGAGUCUUGAUGCCCAUAAGCUAAGGGAAAUGUGCAUUUAAUUAAUGAUCCAGAGUUUAGGAAGGACUGCUUCAUUAAGAAAGCAUUUAUUACAAAAAAUAAGGAUUUGCAUAACAUUAUUCAGUACACGAAGUUCUAUUGCCAUCAUUUGAGCUUUUCUUAUACCAAUCGUAUUUCUCAGAACCUUGAAUAGAUGAAAGGAACUUAAUCUGGUUCUCAAUCAGUUUAUGAAAUUCACUGCAACUUACAUUUUUCAUAUUGUAUUGUAUUUACAUCAUUGCAUUAACCGAUUUUAUUGUUAACCUAUUCCUUUCUUCCGUCCACUGAGAAUUUGAAGGAAAAUGACUCUCUCUACAUUGGCGUUAUGACUGGGAAUGGAGAAAUAAAAUUACACAAUUUUCAGCAACUCUGAAUACUGCUCACGAGAAAUACAAAGUUAGUAUUUGUGUUAUCUCCACCAAAAGCAGAUACCUUAUCACUAAGCCCAUUUUGUAAAAUGGCACUGUAUACACACUCGGUUAUUGUACCAGAAUCCUCACUGUCACAUUCAUUUAAAUUUAACAAUCUACUUUGGACACCUUCGUCAUAAUCAAAACACUGCCCAAGAACAGGAAAUAUUUUCAAAUACUAGGGGUUGCUAGCAUCAGUGCUAAUACUAAUAUAAUUGGCCUUCGAUAGACCGUUCCUUGUUCUGUCUUCAAUGAACGGUGAUAUCACUUUAUUAACAAUGGCUUCUAUUUUAGUUUUGCCGCUGGAGAAGUUUACUGCAACUUUCGAGUCACUAAAAACGUGAGAGAGAAUUUUUGAUGUGCAAGAACUUGAGUUGUAUGAAUGAUGGUGCUUGACACAGUGAAAUGCAAAUGCAGCUUCUGCUGCAGCUGCUUUAUUACCAUCUGUCUGUGUUUUGAAAAAGCUGGUGAGCUUUUUGGAAGAUGAUGAUCCCACCACCGUCUUACGCUUUUUCGAUUGCACGUGGUCAUUAAUAUCAUGUCUGCCUCCAUUACUGAUUGAAAUGUAGGAACUGUGAACAGGAGAAACGUAUAAUAGAAUAAUUUUUCUAGGAAAACAAUGAUUUCAAUGGGCCUGUGUAUAAUCAUAAUGUUACUCGCCCGCAAAUUUGGCACAAAGUUUCGUAUUCAGUUCUUCCUCGCUUUAUACUUGGAAACUGUUCAGUAUAUUCCUCCCUGUACUUAACCUUCCAUCUAGCCGACAUUAUUAAACCACCAGGCAAAUAACUACUAUUUAAUGCGAUAUAACAACGAAAUCGCAAGCACAACAAACCAUGCGAACAUUCAACAAGCUAAUCAAAGAGGAUAAUACUCUUCAUUGCCAGAGAUGACUGACCGCCCACUGUAUCGACAACUCGCAAUCUCGCAAAUCGAAGAGGAUGUAUCGUACGCCUGAGCCUGGCUGCCCAUUGUUUCCAUAUCUCAAAAGCUGUUCUGUUCUGUUUGGAUUUUAUAUAAUGUGAAGGCAAAGAGAUAACACAUUGAUGCUUUUUUGACAGCAAUUUUUGAAAUUACCGAAGUUGACUUCAAAUCCAACAAAUAUCGCAGACAUUUGCCUUUUCGGCCCGGACAUUUUCAUUUACCCUAAAAUUGCGGACUGUCCGUGAAAUCCGUGGCGUAUGGCAACCCUAUAUUUAUACCUUUUUUAGUUCUUUUUCAUUUAAAAUGAUCAUUGUGUAAAGUAAUUGUGAAGAUCAUUGAUGGAGGUUUAAAUACUUAAAUAUGUGGGCAAAAUUUAAAAUCCAGUUGUUUUUAGUCCCGUUAAGGUAACUUUUACGCAUCUAUUUUUGAAACAGUCAAUUUAACUUUGUAAAUAUGUAUGAAAGUUUUAAUAAAACUCAUCUUUAUUAAAU